rnacentral:rRNA from 1 species
CCUACGGGUGGCAGCAGUGAGGAAUAUUGGUCAAUGGGCGGAAGCCUGAACCAGCCAAGUAGCGUGCAGGAUGACGGCCCUACGGGUUGUAAACUGCUUUUAUACGGGAAUAACGCGCCUUACGUGUAGGGCUUUGCAUGUACCGUAUGAAUAAGGACCGGCUAAUUCCGUGCCAGCAGCCGCGGUAAUACGGAAGGACCGGGCGUUAUCCGGAUUUAUUGGGUUUAAAGGGGGCGUAGGCCGCAUGGCAAGCGUGCGGGGAAAUGUCCGGGCUCAACCCGGGCCGUGCAGCUCGAACUGGCGUGCUUGAGUCCGCGGAAAGCAGGCGGAAUUCGUCGUGUAGCGGUGAAAUGCUUAGAUAUGACGAAGAACCCCGAUUGCGAAGGCAGCUUGCUGCAGCGGAACUGACGCUGAUGCUCGAAAGCGCGGGUAUCGAACAGGAUUAGAUACCCCAGUAGUC